rnacentral:rRNA from 1 species
GGGCCCGCACAAGCGGUGGAGCAUGUGGUUUAAUUCGAUGAUACGCGAGGAACCUUACCAGGUCUUAAAUGCAUAACGAACGAUUGGGAAACCAAUUUUUCUUCGGACGGAAUGCAAGGUGCUGCAUGGUUGUCGUCAGCUCGUGCCGUGAGGUGUCAGGUUAAGUCCUAUAACGAGCGCAACCCCUAUUCUUAGUUGCCAGCGGUUCGGCCGGGGACUCUAAGAAAACUGCCAGUGCAAGCUGUGAGGAAGGUGGGGAUGACGUCAAAUCAUCACGGCCCUUACGACCUGGGCCACACACGUGCUACAAUGGUAGGUACAAAGGGCAGCCACUUGGCGACAAGGAGCUAAUCUCAUAAACUCGGUCUCAGUUCGGAUUGCAGGCUGCAACUCGCCUGCAUG